rnacentral:rRNA from 1 species
AGCGAACGCUGGCGGCAGGCUUAACACAUGCAAGUCGAACGGGCGUAGCAAUACGUCAGUGGCAGACGGGUGAGUAACGCGUGGGAACGUACCUUUUGGUUCGGAACAACCCAGGGAAACUUGGGCUAAUACCGGAUAAGCCCUUACGGGGAAAGAUUUAUCGCCGAAAGAUCGGCCCGCGUCUGAUUAGCUAGUUGGUGUGGUAACGGCGCACCAAGGCGACGAUCAGUAGCUGGUCUGAGAGGAUGAUCAGCCACAUUGGGACUGAGACACGGCCCAAACUCCUACGGGAGGCAGCAGUGGGGAAUAUUGGACAAUGGGCGCAAGCCUGAUCCAGCCAUGCCGCGUGAGUGAUGAAGGCCCUAGGGUUGUAAAGCUCUUUUGUGCGGGAAGAUAAUGACGGUAACGCAAGAAUAAGCCCCGGCUAACUUCGUGCCAGCAGCCGCCGCCGUAAU